rnacentral:lncRNA from 1 species
AGCGUUUAUGUUGGUUGCCAUUGUGAAUCCAUGUCAUAAAACUUACUCAGUACUCAAUAUGUGCUGGAGGAUACAACAAUGCAUAGGAUGUAAAAAAAAUGUUUUUUAUUUGAAAAAAAAUGUGUACAAUUCAGUACGGAAAAUUUGAAGAGUAACUAAAAUUAAUUUUGUAAAUUCAUAUAUACCAGAAAAGCAUUCCUUUUUAAAAUGACC